rnacentral:rRNA from 1 species
AUGUUCUGCGGUGGUUGGUGGUCUGUCGUGUGGGAUGCAGGUGGUCGAGGCAUCUCCGGGAGAAAUCCUCUUCUCCGGAAUCGACGAUGGCGGCGCCCGUGGGUGUCACGAUCUUUCCUGAAAGCGUCGUUGUGGAGGUGUGGUCACCCCUCUCCCCGCGGCCUUGGCUCCGGAGGGAAACCUCUGAUCAUCUGGAUCGGGCGAUGGAGGCGUCCUAGCGCCUUUCUCCUCCUUGGGGGCAUCGUCUUGAAGCGGACUACAACUAGGAGACCGAUGGUUGUGGGUGGCUGGUUGGUCGAGGCCAGGGGCGUCAAUGUCUGUUUGGCAAUGAUGAUGGCGCCAAGAUGA